AAAGCUGGCACAUAGCAAGAGAUGUGCAUUUCAAGUACUGAGAGCAACAUAUACAGAAGCAAGUCACAGAAACAAGAAAGAACAUGAAGCUUUUAGAGAACAGCCAGGGGAUCAAAAAGGUCAAGACAUUGAAUUCCAUGGCUGACUGUCAGAAAAUAAAGCUGUACCAUGAAGAGGUCAAGAUGUGGUCAUAAAGGAUAAAGAGCUACAUUUGCCUUAGUUUGGGAUUAAUUCUACAGGCAACAGGGAACAAGGAAAGGAUUUGUUUUUUGGAACUUGCUAGAAGUAUGGAGGAUCGAUUUGUAGAAAACUAUACUGGAUACAGAAAGGAUCAGAUGGUAUUCUAUUACAAUAGCCCAAGACUGUGUAAUUCCAAAAUGAUCAGAGAAAAACUUGCCAUCUGGAUGUCAUAAGUAAAUAACUUGUUUCUGAGGCCUGCCUGGAGCUGUCUGAACCAGUGCAAUCAUGGAGGUGUUGGCUAACGCACCUGAGAUGAAGACACCUUCGGGCUUAUUCUUGUACAACUGUUCUUCACUAUGACAUUUCUUUAGCAUAUGUCUGAAGAUCAUUAAAAGGUAGUGCUGCAAUCCUCUCCAAAGGCAGAAGACUGGAGAGAGAUAGAGAGAGAAUCAGAGAAUCUCCUGCUGGCCUUAAAGAAGCAAUCAUGUGUAAACUGCCUAUGGAGAGAGGAGCCCAUGUCAGGAAACUGUGGGUGGCCUCUAGUAGCUGAGGGCCUGAGUCCUGCAAUACCAAGGAACUGAGUUCUGCCAAUAAUCACAUGAUCUUGGAAGAGGUCCUAAGCUCCAGAAAAAAAUGCAGCCCAGCCAACACCUUGAUUGCAGCCUACUGACACCCUGAGCCUCUGAUCCAGCAAUUUUCCAGGAGGAGGAAAUGGCUGUAUACUAAAGGGUCAGAGAUUAUAACAGCAGCAAUUAAGAUGAGAUUCUGCCUAUAGCAUUAGCUCAUUGUCUACUGCUCAAACAUAAG